ACUGAUCCAGCGAAUAUUCCUGAAGUCCUAUGCGCAACGUUUCACUUGGACUGAAAGGAAUUAAACGCGAAAUCCUCGGGGUCAAAUUAAAAAAAUGAAAAAACUUGAUUAUGAAACAGAGAAAAAUCCGAAGGGUCAGGCAGGAAAAUAAUCCAUCAGGCAUAAAAUCACGCGGACCUUCAUUGGGUCGGACUCGGGCGUGCGGGUUAAUGGCCUUAUACGACGCCGUUUUAGAGCCACUGAAGCAGGCUCUAUACGGCGUCGUUUAAUCCCUUUUUAAACCACUUCAGAAAACCCUAAUCCAAACAUUUCAUCCCCCCUAACUGAAAUCUAAACCCCUUAUACCCAUCAGCCGCCUCAAAGCCGGAAACUCUCCUCGACUCCGACGAAGACCGACCGAGAGGGUUCCGACGGCGCGCCCAGGUAAGGUUGCUUCUCAUCUUUUCUCUUCUUAUUUUAUAUUCUUAUAUAUGUGAUUAAAAUAAAAAAAACGAAAAGGAAAGAAAACCAUAUUAAGAAACAGUAUGAAAAAAUAGAGAAGAAAAAAAAAAAACCUUCUUUUCAAUUUCUGAUAUCUCGAUUUUAUUCUCUUCAAAAUGUUUUUUUUUUUACAUUUGUUCCCCCCUCGAAAUUACAUUAUUUGUGGCUUUUUAUAGCUGAUUUUACACUUCAAUGUUGACUGUUUUUGGCUACUGUUUCGCUUCAUUUUCGUUACUAUUUCUAUUCUGUCUCUUUUCCUUUUCUUCCGCUGUUUCUACCUCUUUUCUCAUGUUCACAGGCGCUGACGGAGGAGAAAGGCUGACCCUUACCAUUUUGGUGCAAGAGAGGCAGCCCUCGAGCAAUGUGCACGCCGACACUGCACAUGGAGGCAGCGGCGCAAAGGAAAAGAGGGAACCCUAGGGUUCCCUGAUGCUGUUUAGUCUUUUGGGCCCCAUUGGGCCGUUUAGGGUUUUAAAAUUUGGGCUGUGGAUUGAUUUGGUGUUGGCCCGGGCUAAUAUUGGGCUGUACAUUUAAAAUUUAGUCUACAUUCUUUAGUUUUGGGACAAUAAGUCUCUAUACUUUUUUCAUUUAAAAAUCUUGAUCCCUCCGUCAAUUUUUCUGUUAAAAUUGAUGAUGUGGUUGUUAUAAAAAAAAUAGAACAACUCUUUUAGCUCUAAUUAUUUAUAUUUUUUUUUGUCGAUUUAGUCCAAACUCUUUAAAAAUAUAUGAACAAUUACAAAAAAAUAAAAUUAAAAGUUAAAUGAUUUUUCGCAUUUUCAAUAAAAAUUUGGAAAUUAAAAUCUAUUUAAUUUAAAAUAAAUUGAAAUUAUAUUAAAUAUUCAAAGAAAGUUAAUAAAAUCUCCCAAACUUAAAAUUAUUAGUAGGGUACAUAUUAAAUGUAGUUUAAUAAAUAAAAUGAUAGAAAUCCGAAUGCAAUCCAAGCGAUUGUUGACCUCUUUGAAGUUUCA
rnacentral:lncRNA from 1 species